ACGAGAUUCCUGACCCACAAAAACGUUUCUACCUACAAAAUGCCAAUGAGGUUUGCAAAGCCGCCAUCAGUUUCGACUUUCCUAUUGCCUGAUACUGUUUGUCUUAAUCACCCACAACAUGAACACAUGGAACUCAUAGACUGGUGGGUGGCAGAGACGAGAAAGGAGACAGAAAACACUGUGAUGAGCAGAACUACCAACCAAGGACUCUUGAUGUGCAAAGGAGGUUGAGAGAGCAAAGAAAGGAAGCCAGAACAGUUUGAGAGUCAGCCCAGGUCCUGGUCGCCCGCCCACACCCACAAUCCUCUUUCCUGGCUGGGAUGAGUCUGGGGAGGAGACGAGCAAAUCAGUGUUUAUUUCCUGAAGUUCAUGGUCACCAGAGAGGACUGCAUCUCCCCCUCUUUCACUUGGAAAAACUGAUGUGUUGGAAUAAUUAUGGUUCAUCCUUUGAUCUGUCUCUUUGUCUGCAAAGCAUAAAUAGUGUCAGCUGGCAAGGUCUGAUUGCUCCGAUAUUUCAGGUUUAUAUUUUGAAUAACACAAGACUUGGUUGCUAGCACUGGUAAAUAAUUUACUCUAGUCUGAAAUACAAGCUCCAGGCAAGAAACAUAAGAUCAAACAUGGGGAAUGGCGGCACCAUAGCAAACGCACAGCUACCCUGUGAAGAGUUUUUCUAAAUUCUCUGCUGGAAGAAGUUCGGAGGGGGCAGGGGAGGGGAUGACAACAGGUGGGGAAUCAGCCAUGGUGCCCGCUCCUGCGCAAAUAAAAUGCUUUUGCUGACAUCAAAGCAGGCUGGAGAGAUGAGUAUCAAUGACAGCUGAAAGAAGUGACGGCUGAAAGAAGCUUCUCCAACUUCUAGCAAAGACACCCUCCGCCCAAAAAAACUUUCACUUUGCCCAAACUAAGUAGCAAUGCUCACUUCUUAGAUCUCCUUUUUUUAAAUGACUGUUUAUUGUUUUUACUGGAGUAUAAUUGCUUUACAAUGCCGUGUCAGUUUCUGCUGUACAAGGAAGUGAAUCAGCUAUAUGUAUACAUAUAUCCCCUCCCAGUUGGACCACCCUCCCUUCAUCCCACCCCUCUAGGUCAUCACAGAUCACCAAGCUGAACUCCCUGUGCUAUACAGCAGCUCCCCACUAGCUAUCUAUUCUACCCACAGAGUGCAGAAGAGAGGGAGAGAGGAG
ensembl:lncRNA